CUGACGAGUGGCGGACGGGUGAGUAAUGCUUGGGAAUCUGGCUUAUGGAGGGGGAUAACUACGGGAAACUGUAGCUAAUACCGCGUAGAGUCGAGAGACGAAAGUGCGGGACCGCAAGGCCGCAUGCCAUGAGAUGAGCCCAAGUGGGAUUAGGUAGUUGGUGGGGUAAAGGCCUACCAAGCCUGCGAUCUCUAGCUGGUCUGAGAGGAUGGCCAGCCACACUGGAACUGAGACACGGUCCAGACUCCUACGGGAGGCAGCAGUGGGGAAUAUUGCGCAAUGGGGGGAACCCUGACGCAGCCAUGCCGCGUGAAUGAAGAAGGCCUUCGGGUUGUAAAGUUCUUUCGGUAUUGAGGAAGGGAUGUGUGCUAAUAGUACAUAUCAUUGACGUUAAAUACAGAAGAAGCACCGGCUAACUCCGUGCCAGCAGCCGCGGUAAUACGGAGGGUGCGAGCGUUAAUCGGAAUAACUGGGCGUAAAGGGCACGCAGGCGGUUAUUUAAGUGAGGUGUGAAAGCCCCGGGCUUAACCUGGGAAUUGCAUUUCAGACUGGGUAACUAGAGUACUUUAGGGAGGGGUAGAAUUCCACGUGUAGCGGU
rnacentral:rRNA from 1 species